rnacentral:rRNA from 1 species
AGAGGAAGUAAAAGUCGUAACAAGGUUUCCGUAGGUGAACCUGCGGAAGGAUCAUUACCGAUUUCUCUGUUUUGAAGAUGGAGAGAGAGAAAUCCGAGUCAGAGAGAGAGAGAGAGACGCCGAUCGGGCACCGGGUUCUCCGGUUUUCAAUGUCUUUCGCCCGAAUCGCGCGUGAGAGGGGAAGAUGAUUCCCGGUCGGUCUUCCGAUUGAGAGAAAAGACUUCGGAAUCGAGAGAAAAAAAAAAGUUGAAAUCCUAGACGGUGGAUCACUCGGCUCGUGGAUCGAUGAAGGACGCAGCAAACUGCGCGUCGAAUUGUGAACUGCAGGACACAUGAACAUCGACGCUUCGAACGCUCAUUGCAGCCCACGGAUUCUGUUCCCGGGCUACGCCUGGCUGAGGGCCGGCAAACGAGUUCCCGCGAAGCGGUAGUCCGGGAAACCGGUCCGCCCCCGCGGCGGCCCUUUCCUGAUGGACUCGAGCGACGGUGAUUCGGGAGCCGGGGCGGCACGCCCCGCCCGGACGCGCGUGAGACGCUUCGCUCUCUCUGAGACGGCGUCCGUGUCGAUCGGGCGGGACUCCCCCGCGGCUCGCUCCCGAACCCGAGCGCGCACACUUGAAACUCGCCGACCUCAGAGCAGGUGAGACCACCCGCUGAAUUUAAGC